CAAAAAGUUCGUUUGGGUUUUU
rnacentral:miRNA from 1 species